rnacentral:rRNA from 1 species
GACGAACGCUGGCGGCGUGCCUAAUACAUGCAAGUCGAACGGUUUAGUUCCAAGAGGCUUGCCUUUUGGAACUAGACAGUGGCGGACGGGUGAGUAACACGUAGGCAACCUACCUGUCAAACCGGGAUAACCUCGGGAAACCGAAGCUAAACCCGGAUAAGCUCCUUUUUCGCAUGAAGGGGGAGUGAAAAGGUGCGACCUGAUGACAGAUGGGCCUGCGGCGCAUUAGCUAGUAGGUAGGGUAACGGCCUACCUAGGCGAUGAUGCGUAGCCGACCUGAGAGGGCGUACGGCCACACUGGGACUGAGAUACGGCCCAGACUCCUACGGGAGGCAGCAGUAGGGAAUCUUCGGCAAUGGGCGAAAGCCUGGCCGAGCAACGCCGCGUGAGUGAGGAAGGCCUUCGGGUUGUAAAACUCUGUUGUUUGGGAAGAAGGGAAAGGGUAGGACCCUUAGGUGACGGUACCAAACGAGAAAGCCCCGGCUAACUACGUG